UCAAGCUAAUAAGAGCAUAGGGUGGAUGCCUUGGCACUAGGAGCCGAAGAAGGUCGUGAUAAGCUGCGAAAAGCUUUGGGGAGGCGCAAAUAGCCAUUGAUCCAGAGAUUACCGAAUGGGGAAACCUGGCUGGGAAGAUCCCAGUUACUACUGAGUGAAUACAUAGCUUAGUAGGGGGAACCCGGGGAACUGAAACAUCUAAGUACCCGGAGGAAGAGAAAGAAACAUCGAUUUCCUAAGUAGCGGCGAGCGAAAGGGAAAGAGGCCAAACCUGUGAACCUAGUUCAUGGGGGUUCGGACUGCAGACGGUAUUAACAAAGAUUAGUCGAAAUGUUUUGGAAGAGCAUAUCAAAGAGGGUGAGAAUCCCGUAGACGAAAGUUUAAGUUAGCCAGCAGGAUCCAGAGUAGCGCGAGACACGAGAAACCUUGCGUGAACAAGCGGGGACCACCCCGUAAGCCUAAAUACUACCUAGUGACCGAUAGCGCAUAGUACUGUGAAGGAAAGGUGAAAAGAACCCCGGGAGGGGAGUGAAAGAGAACCUGAAACCCUAUGUUUACAAGCAGUCGAAGCACGUUAAAGUGCGACGGCGUACUUUUUGUAGAACGGUCCGGCGAGUUACGAUUGCAGGCAAGGUUAAGCAUUGAAGAUGUGGAGCCGAAGGGAAACCAAGUCUUAAUAGGGCGUCAAGUCAGUAGUCGUAGACCCGAAACCGGGUGACCUAUCCAUGUGCAGGUUGAAGUUACCGUAAAAGGUAAUGGAGGACCGAACUCACAUCUGUUGAAAAAGGUGGAGAUGACGUGUGGAUAGCGGAGAAAUUCCAAUCGAACCCGGAGAUAGCUGGUUCUCCUCGAAAUAGCUUUAGGGCUAGCCUUGAUUUAGUCUAAUGGAGGUAGAGCACUGAAUUGCCUAGGGGGCUUCACAGCUUACCGAAGCAUAUCAAACUCCGAAUGCCAUAUAGAUGAUGAUCAGGAGUCAGACUAUCGGAGAUAAGUUCGAUAGUCAAAAGGGAAAGAGCCCAGACCACCAGCUAAGGUCCCAAAGUGCGUGUUAAGUGGAAAAGGAUGUGAGAUUUCGAAGACAACUAGGAUGUUGGCUUAGAAGCAGCCAUGCAUUCAAAGAGUGCGUAAUAGCUCACUAGUCGAGAGGUCUUGCGCCGAAAAUGUCCGGGGCUAAAACACGCCACCGAAGCUGUGGAUUGGUACGUAAGUAUCAGUGGUAGAGGAGCAUUCUUAGAUUGGAGAAGCUGUACCGUAAGGAGCAGUGGAGAGCUAAGAAGAGAGAAUGCCGGAAUGAGUAGCGAGAGAGAAGUGAGAAUCUUCUCGGCCGAAUAUCUAAGGUUUCCAGAGUAAAGCUGAUCUUCUCUGGGUAAGUCGGGACCUAAGGUGAGGGCGAAAGCCGUAGCCGAUGGACAACUAGUUGAAAUUCUAGUACCGCAUAUAAACAGAACUGUGGGGACGCAGGAGGAUAACAAGAGCCAGGAAAGGAAAAACUGGUGCAAGCACAAAGGCCGUUGGAUAGGCAAAUCCGUCCAACAUAAGGUUGAAGUGUGACGCGGAUCGAAUUAAAGUAGAGAAGCUUGUGAAUCCAUACUGCCAAGAAAAGCCGCUAUUGUUUUAUAUGUGCCCGUACCGCAAACCGACACAGGUAGAUGAGGAGAGAAUCCUAAGGCCGACGGGAGAAGCGUUGUUAAGGAACUCGGCAAAAUGACCCCGUAACUUCGGGAGAAGGGGUGCCAUCUUCGGAUGGCCGCAGAGAAUAGGCCCAAGCGACUGUUUAGCAAAAACACAGGUCUCUGCAAAACCGAAAGGUGAAGUAUAGGGGCUGACGCCUGCCCGGUGCUGGAAGGUUAAGGGGAAGGAUUAGCGUAAGCGAAGUCUAGAACUUAAGCCCCAGUAAACGGCGGCCGUAACUAUAACGGUCCUAAGGUAGCGAAAUUCCUUGUCG
rnacentral:rRNA from 1 species